rnacentral:rRNA from 1 species
AAAAUAAUGCAGAAGUAGUUCAGCGGUAGAAUACAACCUUGCCAAGGUUGGGGUCGCGGGUUCGAAUCCCGUCUUCUGCUCCAUUAUUUUGCCGGGGUGGCGGAACUGGCAGACGCACAGGACUUAAAAUCCUGCGGUGAGAGAUCACCGUACCGGUUCGAUUCCGGUCCUCGGCACCAUUUUAGCGCCCGUAGCUCAAUUGGAUAGAGCGUUUGACUACGGAUCAAGAGGUUAUGGGUUCGACUCCUAUCGGGCGCGCCAUUUUUAAAUUAAUUGAAUAACGGGAAGUAGCUCAGCUUGGUAGAGCACUUGGUUUGGGACCAAGGGGUCGCAGGUUCGAAUCCUGUCUUCCCGAUUACUUCUUAAAUUCCAUUUUAUGGGGGCUUAGCUCAGCUGGGAGAGCGCCUGCUUUGCACGCAGGAGGUCAGCGGUUCGAUCCCGCUAGUCUCCACCAUUUAUUUUUUACACGAUGAACAUUGAAAACUGAAUGACAAUAUGUCAACGUUAAUUCCAAAAAACGUAACUAUAAGUUACAAACAUUAUUUAGUAUUUAUGAGCUAAUCAAACAUCAUAAUUUUUAUGGAGAGUUUGAUCCUGGCUCAGGAUGAACGCUGGCGGCGUGCCUAAUACAUGCAAGUCGAGCGAACGGACGAGAAGCUUGCUUCUCUGAUGUUAGCGGCGGACGGGUGAGUAACACGUGGAUAACCUACCUAUAAGACUGGGAUAACUUCGGGAAACCGGAGCUAAUACCGGAUAAUAUUUUGAACCGCAUGGUUCAAAAGUGAAAGACGGUCUUGCUGUCACUUAUAGAUGGAUCCGCGCUGCAUUAGCUAGUUGGUAAGGUAACGGCUUACCAAGGCAACGAUGCAUAGCCGACCUGAGAGGGUGAUCGGCCACACUGGAACUGAGACACGGUCCAGACUCCUACGGGAGGCAGCAGUAGGGAAUCUUCCGCAAUGGGCGAAAGCCUGACGGAGCAACGCCGCGUGAGUGAUGAAGGUCUUCGGAUCGUAAAACUCUGUUAUUAGGGAAGAACAUAUGUGUAAGUAACUGUGCACAUCUUGACGGUACCUAAUCAGAAAGCCACGGCUAACUACGUGCCAGCAGCCGCGGUAAUACGUAGGUGGCAAGCGUUAUCCGGAAUUAUUGGGCGUAAAGCGCGCGUAGGCGGUUUUUUAAGUCUGAUGUGAAAGCCCACGGCUCAACCGUGGAGGGUCAUUGGAAACUGGAAAACUUGAGUGCAGAAGAGGAAAGUGGAAUUCCAUGUGUAGCGGUGAAAUGCGCAGAGAUAUGGAGGAACACCAGUGGCGAAGGCGACUUUCUGGUCUGUAACUGACGCUGAUGUGCGAAAGCGUGGGGAUCAAACAGGAUUAGAUACCCUGGUAGUCCACGCCGUAAACGAUGAGUGCUAAGUGUUAGGGGGUUUCCGCCCCUUAGUGCUGCAGCUAACGCAUUAAGCACUCCGCCUGGGGAGUACGACCGCAAGGUUGAAACUCAAAGGAAUUGACGGGGACCCGCACAAGCGGUGGAGCAUGUGGUUUAAUUCGAAGCAACGCGAAGAACC